UAAAUACUCCCUAGUGACCGAUAGUGAACCAGUACCGUGAGGGAAAGGUGAAAAGCACCCCGGAAGGGGAGUGAAACAGUUCCUGAAACCGUGUGCCUACAAGUAGUUAGAGCCCGUUAAUGGGUGAUAGCGUGCCUUUUGUAGAAUGAACCGGCGAGUUACGAUUUGUUGCAAGGUUAAGCGGAAAAAGCGGAGCCGUAGCGAAAGCGAGUCUGAAUAGGGCGCAUAAGUAACAGGUCGUAGACCCGAAACCAGGUGAUCUACCCAUGUCCAGGAUGAAGGUAAGGUAAUACUUACUGGAGGUCCGAACCCACGCACGUUGAAAAGUGCGGGGAUGAGGUGUGGGUAGCGGAGAAAUUCCAAUCGAACUUGGAGAUAGCUGGUUCUCUCCGAAAUAGCUUUAGGGCUAGCCUCGAGGUAAAGAGUCAUGGAGGUAGAGCACUGUUUGGACUAGGGGCCCUUCUCGGGUUACCGAAUUCAGAUAAACUCCGAAUGCCAUGUACUUAUACUCGGGAGUCAGACUGCGAGUGAUAAGAUCCGUAGUCGAAAGGGAAACAGCCCAGACCACCAGUUAAGGUCCCCAAAUAUAUGUUAAGUGGAAAAGGAUGUGGGGUUGCUUAGACAACCAGGAUGUUGGCUUAGAAGCAGCCACCAUUGAAAGAGUGCGUAAUAGCUCACUGGUCGAGUGACCCCGCGCCGAAAAUGUACCGGGGCUAAACAUAUUACCGAAACUGUGGAUGAACCUCUUUAGAGGUUCGUGGUAGGAGAGCGUUCUAAGGGCGGUGAAGUCAGACCGGAAGGACUGGUGGAGCGCUUAGAAGUGAGAAUGCCGGUAUGAGUAGCGAAAGAAGGGUGAGAAUCCCUUCCACCGAAUAUCUAAGGUUUCCUGAGGAAGGCUCGUCCGCUCAGGGUUAGUCGGGACCUAAGCUGAGGCCGAUAGGCGUAGGCGAUGGACAACAGGUAGAGAUUCCUGUACCAGUGCUAAUUGUUUAACCGAUGGGGUGACACAGAAGGAUAGGGAAUCGCACGAAUGGAAAUGUGCGUCCAAGCAGUGAGUGUGAGAAGUAGGCAAAUCCGCUUCUCGCGAAGCAUGAGCUGUGAUGGGGAAGGAAAUUAAGUACGGAAGUUCCUGAUUUCACGCUGUCAAGAAAAGCCUCUAGGAAGAGUAGUACUGCCCGUACCGCAAACCGACACAGGUAGAUGAGGAGAGAAUCCUAAGGUGAGCGAGAGAACUCUCGUUAAGGAACUCGGCAAAAUGACCCCGUAACUUCGGGAGAAGGGGUGCUCUAUUAGGGUGCAAGCCCGAGAGAGCCGCAGUGAAUAGGCCCAGGCGACUGUUUAGCAAAAACACAGGUCUCUGCAAAACCGUAAGGUGACGUAUAGGGGCUGACGCCUGCCCGGUGCUGGAAGGUUAAGAGGAGUGCUUAGCUUCGGCGAAGGUACGAAUUGAAGCCCCAGUAAACGGCGGCCGUAACUAUAACGGUCCUAAGGUAGCGAAAUUCCUUGUCGGGUAAGUUCCGACCCGCACGAAAGGCGCAACGAUCUGGGCACUGUCUCAACGAGAGACUCGGUGAAAUUAUAGUACCUGUGAAGAUGCAGGUUACCCGCGACAGGACGGAAAGACCCCGUGGAGCUUUACUGCA
rnacentral:rRNA from 1 species